rnacentral:rRNA from 1 species
CCUACGGGAGGCUGCAGUGGGGAAUAUUGGACAAUGGGCGAAAGCCUGAUCCAGCCAUGCCGCGUGUGUGAAGAAGGCCUUCGGGUUGUAAAGCACUUUCAGUGGGGAAGAAAGCCUUGGGGCUAAUACCCUCGAGGAAGGACAUCACCCACAGAAGAAGCACCGGCUAACUCCGUGCCAGCAGCCGCGGUAAUACGGAGGGUGCGAGCGUUAAUCGGAAUUACUGGGCGUAAAGCGCGCGUAGGCGGUCUGAUAAGCCGGUUGUGAAAGCCCCGGGCUCAACCUGGGAACGGCAUCCGGAACUGUCAGGCUAGAGUGCAGGAGAGGAAGGUAGAAGUCCCGGUGUAGCGGUGAAAUGCGUAGAGAUCGGGAGGAAUACCAGUGGCGAAGGCGGCCUUCUGGACUGACACUGACGCCGAGGUGCGAAAGCGUGGGUAGCAAACAGGAUUAGAUACCCGAGUAGUC